AAGGAUUUAAGUUAAAAAUUAAACUUUUAGCCUUCAAAGCUAAUAAUAAAGGAUUCUUUAAGCCUUA
rnacentral:tRNA from 1 species